AUGGACGAUCUAAGUGCAGUGCCAAGGGUUAUGUCGUUCCAGUUAUUAAAUGAAAUUACAAAAAAUUUCUCUGCAGACAUGAAAAUUGGCACUGGAUCAUUCGGAAAUGUUUAUAAGGGACAGCAUACAGAUGGGGAAUGGAUUGCUGUGAAGCUUCUUCAUAAUUACAUUCCAGGACUUGAAGAUGAGCAAUUUGAGAAGGAGUAUCACAAUCUCGCAAAUCUGCAACACAAAAAUAUUGUGCGGUUAGUUGGCUAUAGUCAUGAAACUCGGCGAGAAUUCCUACCUUAUAAUGGUGACCUGGUCUUGGCUGACAUUACACAGAGAGCACUUUGCUUUGAAUAUAUGCAAAAUGGAAGCCUUGAGAAAUUUCUUACUGAUGAAUCUAAGGAACGUGAUUGGCGCACACGCUAUGCAAUAAUUAAAGGAAUUUGUCAGGGUUUGAAAUAUCUUCAUGAGGAAUUGCAAACUCCUAUGUAUCAUUUGGAUUUAAAACCAGCCAAUGUACUGCUAGAUGAAAAUAUGGUGCCCAAAAUCGCGGAUUUUGGCUUGUCAAGGCUCUUCAGAGGAGAACAGUCAAAAUUCACAAAAAGUGACAUAGGAACACGUGGGUAUCUACCACCGGAAUAUAUUGACGCCUGUAUAAUCUCCAUUAAGUUUGACAUAUUCAGUUUGGGUGUGGUAAUUAUAAAGAUAAUGGCUGGACCAACGGAGCACUUUCGAAGUGCUGAAAUGUCUCCCCAAGAAUUCAUAGAGAUUGUACAUGCUUACUGGAAGACUAAGCUACAAACAACAUUGGUUCACGCGUUGGAGCCAUAUUCCAAACAAGUAAAGAGAUGCAUCGAAAUAGCUUUAAAUUGUGUGGAUGCAGAUCGACACAAAAGACCAAGUAUAGGGGAAAUCAUUAAUGUUUUGAAUGAGACGGAGAUUGCAAUACAAGUCCUUGGCGCUUCAAUGAAUCACACAGGGUCAUCGAUGAACAAGAUAAAUAGUGACCGGGAAAGAGAGUUCCUUAGGUAUGCCAAGGAAACGCUGUAUUAUGUACAUCGAGGGCAAGGGAACACAUCAUUUGAGAUAAAUAGCGACCAGGAAAGAGAGUUCCUUAGGGAUGCCAAGGAAACGCUGGAUUAUGUACAUCGAGGGCAAGGGAACACAUCAUUUGAGGACUUCCGACAAACUCACAUAGCAGAACUAGAAGAACAAGAGAGAAAAGGACUGAGCACGGCGGUGAAUCUCUUUGGUGAAGUAGUUGACAACUACAAGUUGGAUCAAAUGCCAGGGUACAAGGGGAAACCCAAGAAGCGGGAAGACCGAGCACGAGAGGCCUUGAAUCUGAUGUGCGAGGACCGCAAAGAUGUCAUGGCUUGCAGGUACUUGUGUCCCAAGGUAAUCAUCCAAGUCUACUGGCCGCGGGCCACGCAGUGCUUCAUCUAUAACGCGACCGGCGACACCCUCUACCACGUCGGCAACCAUGACUGGUCUGGGCACAUCCUCAAUAGCAGGGGCUACCCUGAACGGAUUGGCAACGGUCAGUGGGCUGCCUUCGUUCACUGCCAAGGGUCAUUUUCAGGUUCGAUGGCAUCGGUUAUCUAUCGUGGCAAGAACAAAGAUGGUGGAGAUCAGCACUACCUGGUUUCCUGGAAUAACCCAAUUAGAUAUACUUUUGGGUUCAACAAGGCUUAUUGCGGGAUCGGCCCUGUAGACUACUUCCAUACACGUUGGGAUCAUACACUCGAUAACCUUUCAAAUUCUGAUAACUAUUCAUACGCCAAGUCUGAUGGAUGCGAGAUUGAUUCAAAAAUUGGCAAGCGUGAUGCCCCAUUUUUUAUUGCAAAGAUCACCUCGCUGGUUGGUCACCUCCAGCAUUGUGCAAGGAUUUAUAUGGAUAAAUAG
rnacentral:rRNA from 1 species